AGUAACCUGCCCUUGACUCUGGGAUAAGCCUGGGAAACUGGGUCUAAUACCGGAUAUGACUCCUCAUCGCAUGGUGGGGGGUGGAAAGCUUUUGUGGUUUUGGAUGGACUCGCGGCCUAUCAGCUUGUUGGUGGGGUAAUGGCCUACCAAGGCGACGACGGGUAGCCGGCCUGAGAGGGUGACCGGCCACACUGGGACUGAGACACGGCCCAGACUCCUACGGGAGGCAGCAGUGGGGAAUAUUGCACAAUGGGCGAAAGCCUGAUGCAGCGACGCCGCGUGAGGGAUGACGGCCUUCGGGUUGUAAACCUCUUUCAGUAGGGAAGAAGCCGUAAGGUGACGGUACCUGCAGAAGAAGCGCCGGCUAACUACGUGCCAGCAGCCGCGGUAAUACGUAGGGCGCAAGCGUUAUCCGGAAUUAUUGGGCGUAAAGAGCUCGUAGGCGGUUUGUCGCGUCUGCUGUGAAAGACCGGGGCUCAACUCCGGUUCUGCAGUGGGUACGGGCAGACUAAAGUGCAGUAGGGGAGACUGGAAUUCCUGGUGUAGCGGUG
rnacentral:rRNA from 4 species